rnacentral:ncRNA from 1 species
AUAAAAGCAAUGAAAAAGAGGAGUAGAAAUUUGGAGGCAUUAAAAGGAAACUCACUCAUAGGAGUUGAGGAGUACAGUUCUUUUCUUGAAUCAUAGAUUUGGAGAGAACUAGUUAGAGAGAGGGAGUAGCUGAAAACCCUUAUGCUGAAAGUUUUGAAGGUAGCUUUUGAGCUUCUUUAGUGAAAUAAUAGUAGCUAAAGACGGUUUAUCUGAAUCGUUAUUUAAAUUAAGAGUCCAUUAGAGCAUAUAUAAUUGCUUGUGUGGAAAUAAAGGUGGUACCGCGAGUCUUCGUCCUUUUG